ensembl:lncRNA
CUAUCACCUUGGAUCAGUAAUGGUUCCAGGAUGUCAUUCUUGCAAACUUUGCAUAAAUAAUCCAUUCUCCUCACCAAGUAUUGUUACACUACAGCUUUGAGAAACGUCAGAACUAUCGCAUGACAGCGAAUAUCAAAUCUCACGAUUAAAUGCGAGACUUGAAUAUCUCCAAAAUUUUGGCCGGACUGGAGAGCGACACCCGAUGGGGGGUGGGGACUGGCACUCGGACAUGCACGGGUCAAGGUAAAAUAUAUUAAAAAAACGACAAACACUCUCGCACUGGGGACAGACACGCAGCAACACAACGGAGACACUGUCCCAACUGUGACGUCCUCGCACGCGCUCUCCCCGAUGUUUACCUCAUGUGAUGAUUUGCACGAGUGGAAUUAUUUCAUUCUCAGACACAGUUUCUGGAUUCUCUGUUCACGCAACUACGCGUGUGCCCCGACUAAAUGUUUUGCGUGCUUGUGCGCUCUCGGGUUUGGUUGCGGAUCGCGCCGUGAUGCCGCGUUAGGGGCGUAAUCUCAUGCGCACUUUCUAAAGGAGGCUGUCGCGCUCGGGGACGCGCGCUGGAGGUGAUGCUGCGGAUGCAGAAGGAGGAGGCGGAGGAUGCUGCGGCGGCCGCUCUGCGGUUUGACUGACGGGCGAACGCGCGCUAAUAAAGGGCUGUCACAGUGACACGUUCACGGACACGUGGAACAGGCAGCCAAACGUGGGACAUGCCACGAGGAAAAAAAACAACAAAUCCCCACAGCUUUGUGUACAGUUUGGUGUCAGAUUAAGAGGCUACAUCUAGUUUGAAAGUGAAGCACCAACUAUACAGCUUAUCUCUCAGACCGUUGUGCCACAACAAUUAGUGAGUAUCUCUCUGUGUUUUUGCCACCAUAACAACAGCAACAACAACAUGAUCAAACAAAGUAAUAAUGUUUAAUUUUUUUUGUACUUCCUCCAGCCUUCCGGCAGAUGUGUUAUAAACACAAACCCCGUAUGCAUGAGAGAAUGCGAGAGUGCGUGUGUGACAUCGUCUUUAGCGGUUUGACUCAUGAGGCUCGUGGUGAGAUACUAUUUGCUGAAGCAGUUUCAAGCCCCCCACGAUAAGAAGAGCAAC